AGAGUCUGAUCCUGGCUCAGAACGAACGGUGGCGGUGUGCAUACUACAUGCAAGUCAAGCGGGUCUCGGGGCAACUCGAGGCAAGCGGCGCACGGGUGAGUAAAGUAUAGAUAACCUGCCUUGGAGAGGGGGAUAACACAUCGAAAGAUGUGCUAAUACCGCAUACGGUUUUCACGUCACAUGGCGAGAGAACGAAAGUGGGGGACCGACUUGUCGGCCUCACACUCUAAGAGGGGUCUAUAUCCUAUUAGUUAGUUGGUGAGGUAACGGCUCACCAAGACAGUGAUGGGUAGCCGGCCUGAGAGGGUGACCGGCCACAUGGGCACUGAGAUACGGGCCCGACUCCUACGGGAGGCAGCAGUAGGGAAUCUUGGGCAAUGGGCGAAAGCCUGACCCAGCGACACCGCGUGGAUGAAGAAGGCCUUCGGGUUGUAAAGUCCUAACAGGUAUUAAGAAAGGUAUCGGGAUAAUACCCCGGUGCUAUGACGAAGGUACCAAAUGAAGCCAUGGCUAACUCUGUGCCAGCAGCCGCGGUAAUACAGAGAUGGCAACCGUUGUUCGGAAUUACUGGGCUUAAAGAGCACGUAGGCGGAGCAUUAAGUCGAAUGUGAAAUAUCACGGCUUACCCGUGGGGAGUCAUUCGAUACUGGUGUUCUUGAGGUUGGUAGGGGAGAGUGGAAUUCCUGGUGGAGCGGUGAAAUGCGUUGAUAUCAGGAGGAACGUCGGAGGCGUAGGCGACUCUCUGGGCUAUACCUGACGCUGAGGUGCGAAAGCUAGGGGAGCAAACGGGAUUAGAUACCCCGGUAGUCCUAGCCGUAAACGAUGGGUACUAAGUAGGGGAAGUCAAAUUUCUCUGCCGGAGCAAAAGUGUUAAGUACCCCGCCUGGGGAGUAUGGUCGCAAGGCUGAAACUCAAAGGAAUUGACGGGGGCUCGCACAAGCGGUGGAGCAUGUGGUUUAAUUCGAAACAACGCGAAGAACCUUACCUGGGCUUGACAUGCAGGGAUUAGCCGCGUGAAAGCGUGGUGACGCCCCUUCGGGGGAGGAACCUGCACAGGUGUUGCAUGGCUGUCGUCAGCUCGUGCCGUGAGGUGUUGGGUUAAGUCCCAUAACGAGCGAAACCUUUGUCCUUAGUUACCAGCGGUUCGGCCGGGGACUCUAAGGAGACUGCAGACGUUAAGUCUGAGGAAGGUGGAGACGACGUCAAGUCAUCAUGGCCCUUAUGCCCAGGGCUACACACGUGCUACAAUGGACGGUACAAAGGGGUGCAAGACCGCGAGGUGGAGCAAAUCCCAAAAAAACCGUUCUCAGUUCGGAUUGAGGGCUGCAAUUCGCCCUCAUGAAGCUGGAAUCGCUAGUAAUCGUGGGUCAGCUACACCACGGUGAAUGUGUUCCCGAGCCUUGUACACACCGCCCGUCGAGCCACCGAAGCAGGGGUGGCCUGAAGUCACUGACCCAACCCUUCGGGGAGGGAGGUGCCCAAGGAAGCCUCUGUGACGGGGACUAAGUCGUAACAAGGUA
rnacentral:rRNA from 1 species